rnacentral:misc_RNA from 1 species
AAGGAUCAUUAUCGAAUAAACAUUUGAUAGGCUGUUGCUGGCCCUUCUAGGGUAGUGUGCACGCUUGUCAUUUUUUUGUUUAUUUUUCCACCUGUGCACCCUUUUUGUAGACCUAGAGAAAGCAAAUUGUCUUGAGCAAUCAGGAUUGCUGUGUCAGCUUUCCCUUGUCUCUCUAGGUUCUAUGUUACUCACAUACUCCUACGAAUGUAAUAGAAUGUUGAUCUGGGUCUUAGUUAUAUACAACUUUCAGCAAUGGAUCUCUUGGCUCUC